rnacentral:rRNA from 1 species
GACGAACGCUGGCGGCGUGCUUAACACAUGCGAGUCGAACGGAAAGGCCCUGCUUUUGUGGGGUGCUCGAGUGGCGAACGGGUGAGUAACACGUGAGUAACCUGCCCUUGACUUUGGGAUAACUUCAGGAAACUGGGGCUAAUACCGGAUAGGAGCUCCUGCUGCAUGGUGGGGGUUGGAAAGUUUCGGCGGUUGGGGAUGGACUCGCGGCUUAUCAGCUUGUUGGUGGGGUAGUGGCUUACCAAGGCUUUGACGGGUAGCCGGCCUGAGAGGGUGACCGGCCACAUUGGGACUGAGAUAGGGACCAGAAUGCUACGGGAGGCAGCAGUGGGGAAUAUUGCACAAUGGGCGGAAGCCUGAUGCAGCAACGCCGCGUGCGGGAUGACGGCCUUCGGGUUGUAAACAGAUUUCGACUGUGACGAAGAGUGAGUGACGGUAAUGGGUAAAGAAGCAACGGCUAACUACGUG